GAUGAACGCUAGCGGCAGGCCUAACACAUGCAAGUCGAGGGGUAGCAGGAUUAAGCUUGCUUAAUUGCUGACGACCGGAGCACGGGUGCGUAACGCGUAUGCAAUCUGCCUUCCACAGAGGGAUAGCCCAGAGAAAUUUGGAUUAAUACCUCAUAGCAUCAUGUUCCGGCAUCGGAAUAUGAUUAAAGUCACAACGGUGGAAGAUGAGCAUGCGUCCCAUUAGCUAGUUGGUAAGGUAACGGCUUACCAAGGCGACGAUGGGUAGGGGUCCUGAGAGGGAGAUCCCCCACACUGGUACUGAGACACGGACCAGACUCCUACGGGAGGCAGCAGUGGGGAAUAUUGGUCAAUGGGCGCAAGCCUGAACCAGCCAUGCCGCGUGCAGGAUGACGGUCCUAUGGAUUGUAAACUGCUUUUGUACGGGAAGAAACACUCCCUCGUGAGGGAGCUUGACGGUACCGUAAGAAUAAGGAUCGGCUAACUCCGUGCCAGCCGCCGCGGUAA
rnacentral:rRNA from 1 species